UGCCCUACUGCGGAAAAAAAUAUAACAAAGAAAAACAGAAUAAAGUAUUGCAUCAUAUCAAUUUGGAAAAAAUAAUGCAAGCAGGAUUACAUUAUAUCCAAGAGUUACAAUAUUUUGCAAAUGUAGCGUCAGAAAAUAAAUUAAAUAAUACUGACGUAGAAAAUUUGAUGCGUUUACUGCGUUUAAUUGUAGGAAAUUCCAUGACUUAUUAUUUUGUGCGGGAUGAGAUAAAUAUAAAUUUUGUACAAAAAUCAAGAAAAUUGUUUUUCAACUUGACACAUGAAUAUGCCUUUAAAAGAAUUUUUAACUGUUUAAAACAAUGUCGGCUUUUGUAUAAACAAGUAAAACUUAUGAAUAUGCCGAAGACGAAAAAUAUUUUGGAAAAACAACUUACGAUCGUAGCACAAUUUUUGCGCCACAUAUAUCUUAUUCGGUCAUAAAAGCAUGGUUAAAUGGAAUAACGUAGACAGUACUAUCUCACCUGAAAAUUAAACAUCCCUCACAUUCAAUCUGCUCUACAGGUUUAGAGCAAUUUUCUUAUUGGAGAGACAAUAAUAUUGAAGAUAAUUUCUGGAAUGAAACAGAAUCAAAGCAAAUUAUGUGCGUUCUGGAAGAGUAUAUAUUUUCGGAAUUGGAAAUACAUAAAUUGCACCAAGUAUUAAAGACAACAGAUCUCGAAGCGAAAUACAUAAAAUAUUUUGCAGAAUCUUUUCGAAGACAUUUAUUGACUAUCACGUAUCACAUCAUAGCUAGAAGACUCGGCGUACGUUGCUAUCUAAUAAAAUAUGAAAAUAAUAUUGGAAUCAUGUGUGAACCAAAAUAUUAUACAAGUAUUUGGUAUAAUGCAGAAAUUUUUUAUCUAAGUUCGAACUCCAAUUUAUCUUAUCCAUCGAACAUUAUCAGAAGAUCAUAUCAAAA